rnacentral:rRNA from 1 species
UUGGAACUGAGACACGGUCCAAACUCCUACGGGAGGCAGCAGUGAGGAAUAUUGGUCAAUGGGCGAGAGCCUGAACCAGCCAAGUAGCGUGCAGGAUGACGGCCCUAUGGGUUGUAAACUGCUUUUAUGCGGGGAUAAAGUGCGCGACGUGUCGUGCAUUGCAGGUACCGCAUGAAUAAGGACCGGCUAAUUCCGUGCCAGCAGCCGCGGUAAUACGGAAGGUCCGGGCGUUAUCCGGAUUUAUUGGGUUUAAAGGGAGCGUAGGCCGCCAGGUAAGCGUGUUGUGAAAUGUACCGGCUCAACCGGUGAAUUGCAGCGCGAACUGUCUGGCUUGAGUGCACGGUAAGCAGGCGGAAUUCAUGGUGUAGCGGUGAAAUGCUUAGAUAUCAUGAAGAACUCCGAUUGCGAAGGCAGCUUGCUGC